rnacentral:rRNA from 1 species
CUACGGGAGGCUGCAGUGGGGAAUCUUAGACAAUGGGCGCAAGCCUGAUCUAGCCAUGCCGCGUGAGUGAUGAAGGCCUUAGGGUCGUAAAGCUCUUUCGCUGGGGAAGAUAAUGACGGUACCCAGUAAAGAAACCCCGGCUAACUCCGUGCCAGCAGCCGCGGUAAUACGGAGGGGGUUAGCGUUGUUCGGAAUUACUGGGCGUAAAGCGCGCGUAGGCGGACUGUUAAGUCGGGGGUGAAAUCCCGGGGCUCAACCCCAGAACGGCCUUCGAUACUGGCAGUCUGGAGUUCGAGAGAGGUGAGUGGAAUUCCGAGUGUAGAGGUGAAAUUCGUAGAUAUGCGGAGGAACACCAGUGGCGAAGGCGGCUCACUGGCUCGAUACUGACGCUGAGGUGCGAAAGUGUGGGGAGCAAACAGGAUUAGAUACCCCAGUAGUC